GUCGUAUCAGUGUGUAAUAGCUGGUAUAUAUUAUGUAUUUAAUGUUUUUAUAUAUUCCUUCCAACAACAGUAAAGACAGAGUAUGUAUGUAGCACAUCCUUUUUCCUGAGAAUGUCUUACUUUACACUUUAUAUUUUGACUUAAAAGGUACCCUGGCCUUCACUUAAAUUGUGAUGUGUCCCUGUAGCUUCACCUUUCAUGGCAUUUUGUUGGAAAAAGUAAAUGAACCAUCAGAUGUAGCAAAUGGUAGCACCUCUCUUUCUUGUUUCUGACAAAUCAGCCCCACAUCAUCAAGUCACUAAAGUUAGUCCAAAAUCCUCUAGAUCCAUUUCAGUCUUCCAUUCAGACUUUUCAGUGUUUUUUUUUUGGAUUGAUGAACACUCUUGUUGGACAAUACACGACCUCCUGCUCAGCCAUUUCCACAAGAUGUGAUCUCCAGCAGCAUUGUGUCUUGAUGCCUGCCUCUCCUGGAGUGAUUGUAGUCGGACAACUAUUAUUCCCCACAUACAGAUGGGCCAAAGGUUUGCAGAGCACAUUUCCACGGAACAAGGAAAUUUACAGCCCAUAAACAAGCAGAGGACGUUCAGUGUUGUGGCCAGGGAGGUCCUGACCCAGUUUCAGGUGUGGCAGAGGGCCUGCUAUAGCAGGAACAUCGAGUGGGGUCCGAUUAUAGCGAAGAUAAUUUCUGCAUUGCCGCAGUUUUAUGGACGGGAGGCAGAGGUGAUCGUACGAUGCACUAAGAUGCUACACAACCGCAGGGAUUACCUUCGAAGGAGAGCAAAGGUUAGAGUUCACAGGCUCAAAGAUUUCAUCUCUUAA
ensembl:lncRNA